CCUACGGGAGGCAGCAGUCGAGAAUCAUUCACAAUGGGGGAAACCCUGAUGGUGCGACGCCGCGUGGGGGAAUGAAGGUCUUCUGAUUGUAAACCCCUGUCAUGUGGGAGCAAAUUAAAAAGAUAGUACCACAAGAGGAAGAGACGGCUAACUCGGUGCCAGCAGCCGCGGUAAUACAGAGGUCUCAAGCGUUGUUCGGAAUCACUGGGCGUAAGGCGUGCGUAGGCUGUUUCGUAAGUCGUGUGUGAAAGGCGCGGGCUCAACCCGCGGACGGCACAUGAUACUGCGAGACUAGAGUAAUGGAGGGGGAACCGGAAUUCUCGGUGUAGCAGUGAAAUGCGUAGAUAUCGAGAGGAACACUCGUGGCGAAGGCGGGUUCCUGGACAUUAACUGACGCUGAGGCACGAAGGCCAGGGGAGCGAAAGGGAUUAGAUACCCCUGUAGUC
rnacentral:rRNA from 1 species